rnacentral:rRNA from 1 species
CCUACGGGUGGCUGCAGUGGGGAAUUUUCCGCAAUGGGCGAAAGCCUGACGGAGCAACGCCGCGUGAGGGACGAAGGCCUCUGGGCUGUAAACCUCUUUUCUCAAGGAAGAAGAUAUGACGGUACUUGAGGAAUAAGCCACGGCUAAUUCCGUGCCAGCAGCCGCGGUAAUACGGGAGUGGCAAGCGUUAUCCGGAAUUAUUGGGCGUAAAGCGUCCGCAGGCGGCUUUUCAAGUCUGCUGUUAAAACGUGGAGCUUAACUCCAUCAUGGCAGUGGAAACUGAAAGGCUUGAGUAUGGUAGGGGCAGAGGGAAUUCCCGGUGUAGCGGUGAAAUGCGUAGAUAUCGGGAAGAACACCAGUGGCGAAGGCGCUCUGCUGGGCCAUUACUGACGCUCAUGGACGAAAGCCAGGGGAGCGAAAGGGAUUAGAUACCCUUGUAGUC